AAAGAGAAUGGGAAUUUUGAGUCAUGGUAGCAUUUCCAAAUCACAGCAUCCAGAAGUCUUGUGUAGAUGAGAGAAGCCAGUCACCAGGUAUCACUAGCAGGCAUCUUUCUGAAGUGGGUCUUUUGCCCACAACCUGCAGAUCCAUGAUCUUUGCACUUGAACGCACCUAGGAGUGAGUCACCGGGGAAUCCUGCUGAAAUGCCGACUCUGACUCGAUACCACUAACAUGAAAGAUACUGAACCAAUUCCCUGGAAAAGCAGACAGUCACAUCCCUCCGCGCGCGUGCCGGUUUCCGGAGAGGAACUGAUGCGGCCGCAGCUGCUCUCGGCCUCUUUGCAGAUGUCCUCGUCCCCACGCCGUGCUAAGGUCGUCUUAAAAAAUGGCUGAGGGCCGACAGCAAUGAAGAAGCUGAGGCCCAACGUGUAGUAGACGAUUUGGCCAAGGUCACCCAGCGGGGAAGUAGCUGUCUUGAGGGGUCCGUGCUGCGGUCAAGGUCUGGCAGAAGGCAAUCUUGGAAAGCAGUGUUAGCGAGAUGAGAAAAUUGACAUCCGAAGAGCUUACAUAGCCCCAUAUCCCAACGACUUGAUCGUUUCCACUGUAUGAUCAUUUCAGAAAUCUUAGCAACUUCGGAAUUCACAUUAUGGCCUAACUCCCUUUUAACCUCCACCACUCUGACUGGUACUCUACAGAAGAGGAAACAGAACUCCAACCUGGCUCGCUCUCUCCACGGUCACUCAGCAAGUGAGAAGCAGAAACAUACUGUAAACCAAGUUACUUGGCCUCCAACACCUGUGCUCCUUUUGAGGCCAUACAUCCUCCUAGUGGUGUUUUUAGAUAGAGGACCAGGCAGUAUUUGUCUCUAUAGGAAGAGUCAUGAAAUUCUGACCUUUAUUCUGAAAGACCAUCAUUUACUGUUUCAAAGGAAUACCAGAAGUUAAAGUGGCAAUUGCUCAAUAUUCAGCGUGGGGAGCAAGGAGGGAGGGAGCAACGAAGGAAGGAUAAUGAAUGCUUCAAUUUAUAAUAUAAUGAGUUUCCUGCAAUUACCAGAAAUGUCCACAAGAUGUCACUAUUUCACACUACUUCUGCAAAGCCAUCCCUGUAAGGAAAUUUUGACCUUUGGACAGAGAUGAUUUUAUCUCUUAUAAUGGAAAAAAGCUCAGUCAUUUCUAAUGUCUUUGGAUUGCUUCCUUGUUUCUCUUAAAUUUGCCUCAAGAGAGAAUGCAAAAACAUAGACUUUAAUUAAGGCCUGAGACAAUAUCCUGAUAGUGGGAGACAUUAACCAAGACAUUACCCACUCAAGGGGUUUCCAGGCUGUUCCAGGGCUAGAGACAUUGCAGGAAGCCCUCAUUUUGCUGGGUUGUAGAGCUCCCAUCAGCAUUUUGUGGUAACUCUACCAUGCUCACUGCUUCAGACUCAGAGAACCAGUAAUUGAGCAACAUGCAAAAGACAGCACAUUGGGGUUUUAAAUUGUGCUUUUUUCUUGAAAUAGUUCUCACACUUUGUUUUACAAGACUGAGGCUCAAAGGACUAUAGUGAGUUUUUGUGUCAUAUACACAUUUAAUAGAUAUGCAUACAUCACACUCAUAAUUCAAAUGAGGACUGUCCUGUGCUUAUGGAGGCUUUUUUCCCAAGUAUAAUUGGAGUCAAAUUUACAGAUCAUCAUUUCAGGUUUUCAUAAGUUUUAAAGCAGACUGCCAUUGCAUUAACCAGGCUCACAAUUGCAACCUCAGCUAUAUUUAGCACAGAGAAACUUUUUUUUUUUGCUUUUUAGGGCUGCACUCCUGGCAUAUGGAGAUUCCCAGGCUAGGGAUCCAAUCAGAGCUACAGCUAGUGGCCUACGCCAUAGCCACAGCAAGGCCAGAUCCGAACUGCAUCUGCGACCUACACCACAGCUCACAGCAACACCAGAUCCUUUACCCACUGAGUGAAGCCAGGGAUCGAACCCUCAACCUCAUGGUUCCUAGUUGGAUUUGUUUCCGCUGUGCCACAACAGGAACUCCUUAACUAUUUUUUCAGUUUAAACGUAUUAUUCAUGAGGUCUGUUGAUGGAAAAUGUGGGGACUGCUGAUUUUCAAGUUCCCAGCAAGUUUGGAAGUUUAUGUACUUUAUUAGGGUUCUCUACUGAGAGUCUUUCUUCUAAUAUUUUUUUAAAAAACUGAAAUUGAGCCAAUCAUUAAUGGCAGGUCAAGUCUGGCUACCCUAAGAAGACACUGAACUCAUUCUGUUAUAAAAAGCGAACGCUUUCUGCUUGGUCAUUUUUGGAAGGUGGUGCCACUUUUUUAGACCAAAAGAGCGGUUUGGCUUGAAAGGCCCAUAUUUCAUCCACAAACACAUCUUACUUGGGGCUCAAUGCAGUCACUGAGCAGGCAGUGAGUUAAAAGGCUCAGAGAAGCAGGUCUCGGCCUCCAUAGGCUGAUGGAUUGUGAGAUAAGUCAAAGUUAUUUCUUACUAAUAAUAAAGAGACAAAUGCAGCAAUUUACUUUUUAAAAAAAUUAUGAGCCCCGGUUCCAGCUAAACCCCCAUUGUGGCCUCACGAGUUUUCCUUCCUUGAUGUGCUCACUGAAGCAGAAUAGGAAGGGAUGGAGGAUUUAAGGGCUAUAGGACAGGUUCACAAAGUUCCAGCCUCCAUAGGAAGCACGAGGCUUUUGUACACAUGCAUACCUAUAAGAAUAAGAAAAACUGUUUUGACUACAAAAGAGAAACGAGCAAUAAAAUAUCAACAG
rnacentral:lncRNA from 1 species